rnacentral:rRNA from 1 species
GAUGAACGCUGGCGGCGUGCUUAACACAUGCAAGUCGAACGAUGAAGCCCAGCUUGCUGGGUGGAUUAGUGGCGAACGGGUGAGUAACACGUGAGUAACCUGCCCUUGACUCUGGGAUAAGCCUGGGAAACUGGGUCUAAUACUGGAUAUGACUUCUCAUCGCAUGGUGGGGGGUGGAAAGAUUUAUUGGUCUUGGAUGGACUCGCGGCCUAUCAGCUUGUUGGUGAGGUAAUGGCUCACCAAGGCGACGACGGGUAGCCGGCCUGAGAGGGUGACCGGCCACACUGGGACUGAGAGACGGCCCAGACUCCUACGGGAGGCAGCAGUGGGGAAUAUUGCCCAAUGGGCGCAAGCCUGAUGCAGCGACGCCGCGUGAGGGAUGACGGCCUUCGGGUUGUAAACCUCUUUCAGUAGGGAAGAAGCGAGAGUGACGGUACCUGCAGAAGAAGCGCCGGCUAACUACGUG